rnacentral:rRNA from 1 species
UGAGGAAUAUUGGUCAAUGGACGCAAGUCUGAACCAGCCAAGUAGCGUGCAGGAUGACGGCCCUAUGGGUUGUAAACUGCUUUUAUAUGGGAAUAAAGUGAGGGACGUGUCCCUUAUUGCAUGUACCAUACGAAUAAGGACCGGCUAAUUCCGUGCCAGCAGCCGCGGUAAUACGGAAGGUCCAGGCGUUAUCCGGAUUUAUUGGGUUUAAAGGGAGCGUAGGCUGUUUGUUAAGCGUGUUGUGAAAUGUAGGAGCUCAACUUUUAGAUUGCAGCGCGAACUGGCGGACUUGAGUGCGCACAACGUAGGCGGAAUUCAUGGUGUAGCGGUGAAAUGCUUAGAUAUCAUGACGAACUCCGAUUGCGAAGGCAGCUUACGGGAGCGCAACUGACGCUAAAGCUCGAAGGUGCGGGUAUCGAACAGG